rnacentral:rRNA from 1 species
AAUGAACGUUGGCGGCGUGGAUUAGGCAUGCAAGUCGAGCGCUCAUAGCAAUAUGGGAGCGGCGAACGGCGUAGUAAUGCAUCGGAACGUACCCUUCGGUCGGGGAUAGCCACGGGAAACUGUGGGUAAUACCCGAUGAUAUCUGCGGAUCAAAGGUGAGAUUCCGCCGGAGGAGCGGCUGAUGUGAUAUUAGCUUGAUGGUGGGUAAUGGCCUACCAUGGCGAUGAUGUCUAGGGGGUGUGAGAGCAUGGCCCCCAGACCGGAACUGAGACACUGUCCGGACACCUACGGGUGGCUGCAGUCGAGAAUCUUCCGGCAAUGGACGAAAGUCUGACGGAGCGACGCCGCGUGCGGGAUGAAGGCCCUUGGGUUGUAAACCGCUGUCAGAGGGGGAUGAAAUCUCCGGGGGUACUCCCCCGGAAGUUGACAGAGCCUCAAAGGAAG